GCGGGGCUGCGGGGUGCGUGGAGACAGUAUUCCCGGGGCCUUAUCGAUCCUGAAGGGAGCUGUCCCUGUCCUCGCCCCUGGGCUUGGGCAUAUGGCGCCCACCUACCUCGUAGGUUUCCCGGGAUCGAAGUCUCGACGGCCAUUGCGGCUCCGCA
rnacentral:sRNA from 1 species